rnacentral:rRNA from 1 species
AUUGAACGCUGGCGGCAGGCCUAACACAUGCAAGUCGAACGGUAGCACAGAGAGCUUGCUCUCGGGUGACGAGAGGCGGACGGGUGAGUAAUGUCUGGGAAACUGCCCGAUGGAGGGGGAUAACUACUGGAAACGGUAGCUAAUACCGCAUAACGUCGCAAGACCAAAGUGGGGGACCUUCGGGCCUCACACCAUCGGAUGUGCCCAGAUGGGAUUAGCUAGUAGGUGGGGUAAUGGCCCACCUAGGCGACGAUCCCUAGCUGGUCUGAGAGGAUGACCAGCCACACUGGAACGGAGACACGGUCCAGACUCCUACGGGAGGCAGCAGUGGGGAAUAUUGCACAAUGGGCGCAAGCCUGAUGCAGCCAUGCCGCGUGUAUGAAGAAGGCCUUCGGGUUGUAAAGUACUUUCAGCGGGGAGGAAGGCGGUGAAGUUAAUAACUUCACCGAUUGACGUUACCCGCAGAAGAAGCACCGGCUAACUCCGUGCCAGCCGCCGCCGUAA